rnacentral:piRNA from 1 species
UCAAAAACAGUCAUCGGUCCUAGUCG